GUGGGGGGGCGGGGCGCGCGCGACCCCUGACCCCGCGCGUCGCCCGCGCCGAGAGUCAUAGAGUGCCUGGAGGGGCGGGCUAGAGCGCCGCCCUGGUGCGGUGGGUGCGCUGCCAUCUUGUGGGAGGGGCCCCUCCCCGAGGGAGGAGAAAGUACUCCCCUCGCCCCCCGAGACUGCGGCUGGUGCCCUGGCCCCUGUCGCUGGUCGUUUGGCGCGGCGGGGGCCGCGAUCGGAGCGGCGGGACAGCUGAAGCGCUGCGCUCGCGGCUCGAGUGUCGGUGCCAACACACGUGUGAAGCGGUGUCACGUGCCGGCGCAGCCCCAACGCGGAGCUGGGCUUGGGGGAAAUUCUUUUCCGGCCACCGCAAGCGUCCGCCCGCGCCUGGGGCUGGGCCGAGCGGUGCCCCCGAAUGUUGUAGAUGUUCGAUUUUUAGAAUAUAGUUUGGUAUUUUUCUGGUUUUGAGAUAGCAAAACCCCUUGCUGAAAGGAGUAUUUCCAGUGGCAAGGGGUGGGACUUCUGGUGGCAAAAUUUGGGGGUUAGGGGGUGGGACUUCCAGUCCCAAGAUGGUGACCAGGAGACGGGGAACCUGUCAAGGGGCGGUGCUACCCAUGCAGCCCUCAACAGUUUGCCAAAACGAGGUACAAAGGAGUUGGGGUAACGUAUACUACUGGCAACUAUAUUGUAUGUUUCCACAAACUGGGGGAGCCAGAGAGCCGGUGUUACCUUGAUGGAACGUUAGAAUCCAAAAAGAUAUGAAGAGGAUUGUCCUGAUCUCUUCUCCAUCCAGUUAUUGCAACACAGUUAAUAAGGGGAAAACACAUCUACAACUGCUAUGAAUAAAUCUAGCCCUCUUUGUGUGCCUGGAUUCCUUUUCCAUUCUGUUCAAUGGUACUGCACAUCUUCAUUUUUUUUUUGUCAGCAAGCUUUCAAUCCCAGGCUAUCUUUAAGCAUUGGUAGAAAACAGCGCUAUGUUCAUGUUAGACCAGCUAUCAGAUUCUACCACCUCUAGGGCCUUACAGAUAACCAUAUUCCAAACCCCUCUACCUUGGGUAUUCUUUCUGGAGAAAGAGCAUUGAAACCCUCCAUGUUGUUGUCAGGCAAGGUGGCAUAUUCUCUUUUCAUUUGUGGCCUUUUGUGAGCUGAUGCAACCCUCCCAUUAAGUGCAGAGCAUACUCAUCUCUUGCCAAUGUCUACAAUGAUUAUAUAUUUAUAUGACAGUAAUGCCCAGGGGUUCCAGCUUUGAUCAAGCUGUUUAAACCCAUUUAUUUGACUUCUAAUAAAAUAACCCCACAAAAAUUGGGUGAGUGUAAUACAUAAAGCGAAAAUGGAAGAGGGCAAAGGGACUAGCUAUUUCCAUAGCUAUAUUGUUUUGUGUCAGUUCCUUUUUUUUCCACCAAUUAUGUAAAUAAACAAGUAAACAAAAUGA